rfam:Drosophila virilis strain TSC#15010-1051.87 Ctg01_14101, whole genome shotgun sequence.
GUGCUUCAUACGGGUAGUACAACUUACAAUUGUAGUUAGUACUAUACCUUUAUGUAUGUAAGCGUAUUACCGGUGGAGUUCUUAUAUUUAAUUAAAUACUUGUAUUUUUUUAUAUAUUCCUCCUAUUUAAAAACCUGCAUUAGUGCUCUUCAUCGAGUGUUAUUGUGGGCCGGUACAAUUACUUUGAACAAAUUAGAGUGCUUAAAGCAGGCUUCAAAUGCCUGAAUAUUCUGUGCAUGCGAUAAUGAAAUAAGACCUCUGUUCUGCUUUCAUUGGUUUUCACAUCAAGAGGUAAUGAUUAAUAGAAGCAGUUUGGGGGCAUUAGUAUUACGACGCGAGAGGUGAAAUUCUUGGACCGUCGUAAGACUAACUUAAGCGAAAGCAUUUGCCACAGAUGUUUUCAUUAAUCACAGAACGAAAGUUACACGCUUCGAACGCGAUCAGAUACCGCCCUAGUUCUAACCAUAAACGAUGCCAGCUAGCAAUUGCGUGUAGCUACUUUUAUGGCUCUCUCAGUCGCUUCCCGGGAAACCAAAGCUUUUGGGCUCCGGGGGAAGUAUGGUUGCAAAGCUGAAACUUAAAGGAAUUGACGGAAGGGCACCACCAGGAGUGGAGCCUGCGGCUUAAUUUGACUCAACACGGGAAAACUUACCAGGUCCGAACAUAAGUGUGUAAGACAGAUUGAUAGCUCUUUCUCGAAUCUAUGGGUGGUGGUGCAUGGCCGUUCUUAGUUCGUGGAGUGAUUUGUCUGGUUAAUUCCGAUAACGAACGAGACUCAAAUAUAUUAAAUAGAUAUCUUCAGGAUUAUGGUGUUGAAGCUUAUAUAGCCUUCAUUCAUAGUGGCAGUAAAAUGUUUAUUGUGUUUGAAUGUGUUUAUAUAAGUGGAGCCGUACCUGUUGGUUUGUCCCAUUAUAAGGACACUAGCUUCUUAAAUGGACAAAUUGCGUCUAGCAAUAAUGAGAUUGAGCAAUAACAGUCUGUGAUGCCCUUAGAUGUCCUGGGCUGCACGCGCGCUACAAUGAAAGUAUCAACGUGUAUUUCCUAGACCGAGAGGUCCGGGUAAACCGCUGAACCACUUUCAUGCUUGGGAUUGUGAAAUGAAACUGUUCACAUGAACUUGGAAUUCCCAGUAACUGUGAGUCAUUAACUCGCAUUGAUUACGUCCCUGCCCUUUGUACACCCCGCCCGUCGCUACUACCGAUUGAAUUAUUUAGUGAGGUCUCCGGACGUGAUCACUGUGACGCCUUGUGUGUUGCGGUUGUUUCGCAAAAGUUGACCGAACUUGAUUAUUUAGAGGAAGUAAAAGUCGUAACAAGGUUUCAGUAGGUGAACAUGCGGAAGGAUCAUUA